rnacentral:hammerhead_ribozyme from 1 species
GCACUGCUGAGGAGUCCCGAAACAGGGCGAGACGGCCGUCCUGUGC